rnacentral:rRNA from 1 species
UACGUAGGCAGCAAGCGUUGUUCGGAAUUACUGGGCGUAAAGAGUGUGUAGGCGGUGCUCUAAGUUCGGUGUGAAAUCUCCCGGCUCAACUGGGAGGGUGCGCCGGAAACUGGAGUGCUGGAGCGCGGGAGGGGAAAGCGGAAUUCCUGGUGUAGCGGUGAAAUGCGUAGAUAUCAGGAGGAACACCGGCGGUGUAGACGGCUUUCUGGACCGUAGCUGACGCUGAGACACGAAAGCGUGGGUAGCAAACAGG